GCCGGGGUGGCGGAACUGGCAGACGCACAGGACUUAAAAUCCUGGGACUCGAAAGGGUCGUGCGGGUUCGAUUCCCGCCCUCGGCACCA
rnacentral:tRNA from 1 species